AGGCUCCCAGGAAGGUCCUGUGAACAAUCCCAGUACCAGUGACAGCAGGCAGGAGGCGCUCCACAAAGCCCCAAAGAAGAAGAGCAUCAAGUCCUCCACUGGUCGUUUGUUUGGCAAAAAGAAUAAGGUUCUGCCUGGACAAACUGGCAAAGAAUCACCAAGACAAGGUGGGCCGGUUUUAGGCAGCUGUCCUAACUGCUGGGAUUGGGAGAGCCUGAGAUUUUUCCUAUGUGCCUGCUGCAGGUGUCCAGUGCCCAUGAGGAGUCAUGGCUGAGCGUUCUUCUGACAGCCCAGUUUGCCCACAUGUGAAACAAAGCAGAGCAGUGGAAAUUCAUUUGGCUUGAAUGAAUAACCCUCUCAUAUGCUAAUUUAUACGCUUGAACAUUUAUAUGUGUUUGCUCAGAAGCUUACACUUCAGAAAUGAUUCAGCUCUCUACCUGCAGAAUCUUCUUCCUAUUUGUGAAACAUAUAACUUUGCCAUGUUAAUUUACUCUAACUUUGGGGAAUUUUCUUCUUUUUUGUAGCUGUUGUUUCUGAAACAGAAAACUCAUCUCAGGAUGCCUUCCAACUUAGCAAACUGGGAGGAAAGGAUGAAAAAAAUCGUCAACUUCAAAAACACUCAACAGGCUCCCAGGAAGGUCCUGUGAACAAUCCCAGUACCAGUGACGGCAGGCAGGACGCGCUCCACAAAGCCCCAAAGAAGAAGAGCAUCAAGUCCUCCACUGGUCGUUUGUUUGGCAAAAAGAAUAAGGUUCUGCCUGGAGAAACUGGCAAAGAAUCACCAAGACAAGGUGGGCCGGUUUUAGGCAGCUGUCCUAACUGCUGGGAUUGGGAGAGCCUGAGAUUUUUCCUAUGUGCCUGCUGCAGGUGUCCAGUGCCCAUGAGGAGUCAUGGCUGAGCGUUCUUCUGACAGCCCAGUUUGCCCACAUGUGAAACAAAGCAGAGCAGUGGACAUUCAUUUGGCUUGAAUGAAUAACCCUCUUAUGUGCUAAUUUAUACUCUUGAAGAUUUAUAUGUGUUUGCUCGGAAGCUUACCCUUCAGAAAUGAUUCAGCUCUCUACCUGCAGUAUCUUCUUCCUAUUUGUGAAACAUAUAACUUUGCCCUGUUAAUUUACUCUAAAUUUGGGGGCUUUUCUUCUUUUUUGUAGCUGUUGUUUCUGAAACAGAAAACUCAUCUCAGGAUGCCUUCCAACUUAGCAAACUGGGAGGAAAGGAUGAAAAAAAUCAUCAACUUCAAAAACACUCAAUAGGCUCCCAGGAUGUUCCUGUGAGCAUUCCCAGCAGCAGUGACAGCAGGGAGGACCCACUCCACAAAGCUCUAAAGAAGAAGAGCAUCAAGUCCUCCACUGGUCGUUUGUUUGCCAAA